GGCAGGUUCUCACCCUCUCUAGG
rnacentral:miRNA from 2 species